GCAACGAGCGCAACCCCUACGUUUAGUUGCUAACGCGUGAAGGCGAGCACUCUAGACGAACUGCCGUUGACAAAACGGAGGAAGGUGGGGAUGACGUCAAAUCAUCAUGCCCCUUAUGUUCUGGGCUACACACGUGCUACAAUGGCCGGUACAGACGGACGCAAAGCCGCGAGGUGGAGCAAAUCCUAAAAAGCCGGUCUCAGUUCGGAUUGCAGGCUGCAAUUCGCCUGCAUGAAGUCGGAAUCGCUAGUAAUCGCAGGUCAGCAUACUGCGGUGAAUACGUUCCCGGGCCUU
rnacentral:rRNA from 1 species